AAGACCUUGCGCUUUUGGAGCGGCCGAUGCCUGAUUAGCUUGUUGGUAAGGUAAAAGCUUACCAAGGCUUCGAUCAGUAGCUGGUCUGAGAGGACGACCAGCCACACUGGGACUGAGACACGGCCCAGACUCCUACGGGAGGCAGCAGUGGGGAAUUUUGGACAAUGGGGGCAACCCUGAUCCAGCCAUGCCGCGUGAGUGAAGAAGGCCUUCGGGUUGUAAAGCUCUUUCAGCCGGAACGAAACGGUUACGGUUAAUACCCGUGACUACUGACGGUACCGGAAGAAGAAGCACCGGCUAACUACGUGCCAGCAGCCGCGGUAAUACGUAGGGUGCGAGCGUUAAUCGGAAUUACUGGGCGUAAAGCGUGCGCAGGUAGUUUUGUAAGUCAGAUGUGAAAGCCCCGGGCUCAACCUGGGAACU
rnacentral:rRNA from 1 species